rnacentral:rRNA from 1 species
AUAAAGUGAGGGACGUGUCCCUUUUUGUAUGUACCUUAUGAAUAAGGAUCGGCUAACUCCGUGCCAGCAGCCGCGGUAAUACGGAGGAUCCGAGCGUUAUCCGGAUUUAUUGGGUUUAAAGGGAGCGUAGGUUGACGUAUAAGUCAGCUGUGAAAGUUUACGGCUCAACCGUGAAAUUGCAGUUGAUACUGUAUGUCUUGAGUGUACAAGAGGUGGGCGGAAUUCGUGGUGUAGCGGUGAAAUGCUUAGAUAUCACGAAGAACUCCAAUUGCGAAGGCAGCUCACUGGGGUACAACUGACACUGAGGCUCGAAAGUGUGGGUAUCAAACAGGAUUAGAUACCCUGGUAGUCCACACAGUAAACGAUGAAUACUCGCUGUUUGCGAUAUACAGUAAGCGGCCAAGCGAAAGCAUUAAGUAUUCCACCUGGGGAGUACGCCGGCAACGGUGAAACUCAAAGGAAUUGACGGGGGCCCGCACAAGCGGAGGAACAUGUGGUUUAAUUCGAUGAUACGCGAGGAACCUUACCCGGGCUUGAGUUGCAGAGGAACAUAGUUGAAAGAUUAUGGCCGCAAGGUCUCUGUGAAGGUGCUGCAUGGUUGUCGUCAGCUCGUGCCGUGAGGUGUCGGCUUAAGUGCCAUAACGAGCGCAACCCUUAUCAUUAGUUACUAACAGGUCAUGCUGAGGACUCUAGUGAGACUGCCGUCGUAAGAUGUGAGGAAGGUGGA